GCCUUAAAGGAGACCAUUCCAAGCUGUCAGGGGUCUGUGAACAACCUGGUGCUGUUGGAGAUGUGCUGGUGGUUGUAAACCAGAGCAGCGUGUUAAGAGCCCCAUCAACACCCUUAAAUAACACUUUGUUCUUCAAGAGGAGACUGAGGACAACGCAGACAGAACAGAUGUGGAGGUGUAUUCAUUUAGGUGAAGUCAUCAUGGGACAUUGUAUGUUGGUCUUGUACCCUGGACAGGAUAUCAUCAUAUACUGUAAGUUCGUUAUGGUGACACUACAGUAUAGAUGAUGUACUAUCCAGGGUCUCAUUCCCCCUUCUAGCCACUAUCAGCACCCACACACACUGUCGAUGGUUGGAAGCUAGAGGGUGGCGAUCAAACCGUUACCAUUACUGAGUUUUAGCAAUGGUAAGGGUUCUAUUGACGCCUCUCAAUGUCAUAGCUACAGUAGUACACACACGAACGGAUGGACAGACGCUGCUGGCGGUUGGAAGCUAGAGGGUGGCGAUCAAACCGUUACCAUUACUGAGUUUUAGCAAUGGUAAGGGUUCUAUUGACACCUCUCAAUGUAAUAGCUACAGUAGUACACACACGAACGGAUGGACAGACGCUGCUGGAAGCUAGAGGGUGGCGAUCAAACCGUUACCAUUACUGAGUUUUAGCAAUGGUAAGGGUUCUAUUGCUGCUUCUCAAUGUCAUCUGGAGUUGCGAUAAAGGAAACUAAAAACGGGUGGACUGGACUUUUCUUCCUUGCAACAAGGAGCAUUUGUUUACAACAGAUUAGUAAUACCAAGAACCAGAAUUGUGUAUAAGAACUGAUUUAGAUAUUUUAAUUGUAAGGUGUUUUUUGACUUGUGAAAUAAAUGUUUUAAUUCAAAACCAAAUGA